rnacentral:rRNA from 1 species
AAGACAUUGUGUCUUCGAGUCGUUGAUUUCACACUGCCGAGAAAAGCCUCUAGAUAGAAAAUAGGUGCCCGUACCGCAAACCGACACAGGUAGUCAAGAUGAGAAUUCUAAGGUGAGCGAGCGAACUCUCGUUAAGGAACUCGGCAAAAUGACCCCGUAACUUCGGGAGAAGGGGUGCUCUUUAGGGUUAACGCCCAGAAGAGCCGCAGUGAAUAGGCCCAAGCGACUGUUUAUCAAAAACACAGGUCUCUGCUAAACCGUAAGGUGAUGUAUAGGGGCUGACGCCUGCCCGGUGCUGGAAGGUUAAGAGGAGUGGUUAGCUUCUGCGAAGCUACGAAUCGAAGCCCCAGUAAACGGCGGCCGUAACUAUAACGGUCCUAAGGUAGCGAAAUUCCUUGUCGGGUAAGUUCCGACCCGCACGAAAGGCGUAACGAUUUGGGCACUGUCUCAACGAGAGACUCGGUGAAAUCAUAGUACCUGUGAAGAUGCAGGUUACCCGCGACAGGACGGAAAGACCCCGUGGAGCUUUACUGUAGCCUGAUAUUGAAAUUCGGCACAGCUUGUACAG